GCUAUUUUGGCAGAAAAAUGUAAUGAUUUUAGAAGUCAUGAAUAUAUAAUAAUUAUUAUAUAAGUAGUA
rnacentral:tRNA from 1 species